rnacentral:rRNA from 1 species
UAGGGAAUCUUCGGCAAUGGACGAAAGUCUGACCGAGCAACGCCGCGUGAGUGAAGAAGGUUUUCGGAUCGUAAAACUCUGUUGUUAGAGAAGAACAAGGACGUUAGUAACUGAACGUCCCCUGACGGUAUCUAACCAGAAAGCCACGGCUAACUACGUGCCAGCUGCCGCGGUAAUACGUAGGUGGCAAGCGUUGUCCGGAUUUAUUGGGCGUAAAGCGAGCGCAGGCGGUUUCUUAAGUCUGAUGUGAAAGCCCCCGGCUCAACCGGGGAGGGUCAUUGGAAACUGGGAGACUUGAGUGCAGAAGAGGAGAGUGGAAUUCCAUGUGUAGCGGUGAAAUGCGUAGAUAUAUGGAGGAACACCAGUGGCGAAGGCGGCUCUCUGGUCUGUAACUGACGCUGAGGCUCGAAAGCGUGGGGAGCAAACAGG